CAAAAACACAGCGCAAAGUCGCCGCGCUUGCUGCCACGGCGAUUUCCAAACGUUUGAAAGAAAUGCGCGGGGAAAUUCUUGGCCAUUGGAAGCAGUUUUCGUAUAAGUGAAGCAGUCGCUGUCGUUUUGAGCAGCCUGCCGGGUCAGACGAUUGUAUGAGGAUGUAGCUUCUGUGGGAAUAUUGAAACCACCUGCGAGCUAGAGUGAACAUGUUCCUUAGCCAUAACCACGUUCCAUAACGGAUGAAGGAGCUGAUUGCAAAACUCCUCUGGCCUCGCUGCCGUGCAGGGCCCGUGGGAUGAGCAGCACGGGGGGACGGGCCCGUUUGCAGCUCCGGUGCCGCCGGAGGCCGGGAUCCCUCCAGCGAGCGCUGAAACAACUCAAAAGGAAAAGCUGAACUCCUCGCACUAAAGCCCUUCACCGCCGGGCUGCGCCCCAGGAGGGCGAGGGAACCGCGGAGUCCUGGCCGCGGGGCAGGUGCUUUCCGGGGCUCGGCUGCGCUGCGCACCCGCGCAUCCUCCGCGGCCGAAACCAGGAGCACCUGCCUCGCCCCCGGCCUCUCCAUCUCCCUGGGACAAGGGUGCCCCUCCUCCCCAAAGGCGUCCGCGGGCCUCCCUGCCUGCCCGGGGACCGCAGGGCUGCCGGGGGAGGCAGCGGCCCCUCCUCUCCGCGCAAGGAGGGAGAAGGCUGCAGGAAACCCAGGGCUAGCUGCAGUCCAGGUCAUCUCCUGUUUUUUGAGAGGUUCCAACUCGGACUAAAUGAGCGGAUGUGCCUGCGAGAUUUGUCCCAAAAUAGAAGCGGCUUUAGUAUUUUAGGAUACAGCAGAAAUCCUUAUUUCUUCCGGAGAAAAACUUCAUAAUGAGCGCGAGCACUUCCCUUUUCAAUAUUUGUGCAACUUUAUCUCGACCAGCAAGUUGCUUUGGUGACGCAAAUCCGCCCUUGUGUAUUGCAACUACAAAAAUAAAUGCAAGGAAAUCAAUUCCCUUCUAGCAAUGAAAACAUAAAUAUACAGCUGCGACUUUCCCCUUUAAUCUUGCUUUCCGAGGGACUCGAGAAGGAGGCGAAUGAACUGCGAGGCAGA